GUACAUCCGAGAGUAAUAGUACAGGUCACGAGAAUGUCCGGCCCACAGAUCAUAGUAUUCUGACAAAUUUGGCCCCUGGAAAAAUAUAGUUGAAUAGCCCUCCUGCACAUUAUGCCAUACGAAG